GGUGAACGCUGGCGGCGUGCCUAAUACAUGCAAGUCGAGCGAACAGAUGAGAAGCUUGCUUCUCUGAUGUUAGCGGCGGACGGGUGAGUAACACGUGGGUAACCUACCUAUAAGACUGGGAUAACUCCGGGAAACCGGGGCUAAUACCGGAUAAUAUUUUGAACCGCAUGGUUCAAUAGUGAAAGACGGUUUCGGCUGUCACUUAUAGAUGGACCCGCGCCGUAUUAGCUAGUUGGUAAGGUAACGGCUUACCAAGGCGACGAUACGUAGCCGACCUGAGAGGGUGACCGGCAACACUGGAACUGAGACACGGUCCAGACUCCUACGGGAGGCAGCAGUAGGGAAUCUUCCGCAAUGGGCGAAAGCCUGACGGAGCAACGCCGCGUGAGUGAUGAAGGUCUUCGGAUCGUAAAACUCUGUUGUUAGGGAAGAACAAAUUUGUUAGUAACUGAACAAGUCUUGACGGUACCUAACCAGAAAGCCACGGCUAACUACGUGCCAGCCGCCGCAGUAA
rnacentral:rRNA from 1 species